AACAAACACUCAGACUACCCCAGUGCAAGCUGAACUUAAGAUUUGUUGGUUUACUCUUUCCCCACAGGAAAUCAGAGACACAGUCACACAAGGGAACUGACUGCGGUGCUGAGGUUGUGGUUCUCAAAAUUUUCAUAUUCUGUAUAAGACCUGCAGUAUGUGAGAUGUUUGGUUGCCAGCAGAGCUCCCUGAUUACCAAAGACAAUGCUGCUAUAGAGAGAAAAUAUACAUUUGUAUGGUAUUUGGCUCCGUUUCUUCCAGGAGCAGACAAUACUGCUGGAAAUAUUCCUUGUUGUCUAGUAUCCUGUGUCAUGGAAAAGUUGCUGUGAGAAUUUACCAAGAGAAAGAAAGAAAGAGGAGAAAGCUCCUGGAAGGACUGGUGGUCCACUGGGAUCUGGAGGAAAUGAGCUGUGAGCUGGGUUGGAUGGUUGCUCUCAGAGUGAAGAUUAAUGGGAUAACCCAGCUACCGAUAAAAGGCAGCUGA
rnacentral:lncRNA from 1 species